rnacentral:lncRNA from 1 species
UUUCUCUGCAAGUUUAGAAUUCUAUAUUUUGAUUGCAAUUGUGUUCUGGAAUCUGCUACUAUCGUUCUACUGUUUCACCUUAGGUUUAAUGCAUUUUUCCAGUUUCUGAUUUACUUCUUUUAUACUUUAGCAUUUAGUUUCAUGUAAUUCUAGGUAUUUGUUUAGUUAGCUUUAGUUUAGGUUUCAGUUUAAAUUUUUCUUGCAUUUUUUUUUCUUCAACCAGAUUUUAGUUUAGACUAGAUGUUUCCUUUUUAGUUCCACUCUUUUUAAAUGUCCCCACCU